rnacentral:rRNA from 1 species
GCCCCCUCUUCGCUCAUUAAAACCUCAAAGAUUUAACCCAAACUAAACCAAACCAUUUGUCACACCCAGUAUUUGAGACAGAACAGUAUCUUGACGCAAUAGCAUAUAGUACCACAUGGGACCACUGAAAGAUUUAUGAAACAUACAAGCACAACAAAGCAGAGACAAAUACUCGUACCUUUCGCAUCAUGAUUUAGCAAGCACUCCCAGAUAAAGUGCCCUUCAACCUGCCACCCCGAACCCAGACGAGCUACCCUGUGGCAAUUUAACAGAAUGCACCCGUCUCUGUAGCAAAAGAGUGGGAUGACCAUGGGGUAGAGGUGAAACGCCUAUCGAGCCUGGUGAUAGCUGGUUGCUCAUUAAAUGAAUCUUAGUUCUACUAUGGGACAGUCCUAUAAACCCAUACCUAUUCACCUGACCCUCCCAUAAGCCAGACAAUAAGGGUACAGCCUUAUUGUAUCGAAUACAGCCGAGAUUAGAGGAACCGACCCCCUCAAUAAUCACCAGUAGGCCCUAAAGCAGCCACCAAAUACAAAUCGCGUCAUAGCGCUCCAUUAAAAAUCCAACCUAAUAUUUCCACCCCCUACCAACACAACUGAGCCACUCUAGCCCCUAGAAGAAAUACUGCUAAAACUAGUAAUAAGGAUAACACCCUCUCUUGUACGACUUUGAACCAAAACUAGAUAUACUACUGGUGUUUAACAGACCUAAAUAAGGCAUAUUAACCCCCAAAAAACUACAAUCAUCACUGUCACCCCAACACUGGCGUACAUAAAAGAUGACUUAAAACCAUAAAAGGAAUUCAGCUAACAUGCCCCAACUGUUUACCAAAAACAUAGCCUUUAGCUAACCAAGUAUUAAAGGUACUGCCUGCCCAGUGACUAUUUAAACGGCCGCGGUAUCCUAACCGUGCAAAGGUAGCAUAAUCAUUUGCCUCCUAAUUAGGGGCUAGAAUGAACGGCUAAAUGAGGACAUAACUGUCUCCUAAGGCAAGUCAAUGAACCUGAUCCUCCAGUCCAAAAGCUGGAAUAAAAUCAUAAGACGAGAAGACCCUGUGGAGCUUCAAAUUCAGAUGUUACUACCAUAAAACUAUGCCACUAACGGCCCAAAAACGUAAAUUAACAUCUAUUUUUAGUUGGGGCGACUACGGAGCAAAACAAAACCUCCACGACAAGGACCACUUCCUACAAAGGCCCACAAGCCAAGAUAUCAUGACCCAGUAAUACUGAUCAACGAACCAAGUUACCCCAGGGAUAACAGCGCCAUCCUCUUCAAGAGCCCCUAUCGCCAAGAGGGUUUACGACCUCGAUGUUGGAUCAGGACCCCCUAGUGGCGCAGCCGCUACUAAAGGUUCGUUUGUUCAACGACUAACGUCCUACGUGAUCUGAGUUCAGACCGGAGCAAUCCAGGUCGGUUUCUAUCUAUGAACCGCCCUCUUUAGUACGAAAGGAUUAAGAAGGCAGUGCCAAUAGUUCAACCACGCACUAUAACAAAAACUGAAAUCAACUUAAGACUACCACCCACCCCCACCCAAAACCAGGGCAA